rnacentral:misc_RNA from 1 species
UCUCCGUAGGUGAACCUGCGGAGGGAUCAUUACAGAGUUCAUGCCCUCCGGGUAGAUCUCCCACCCAUUGCUAUAACUACUCUCGUUGCUUUGGCGGGCCGCCGGGCCCUGCCCGGCCGCCGGCCCCGGCUGGCGCGUGCCCGCCAGAGACCUCACAGACUCUGAAUGUUAGUGUCGUCCGAGUAACUAUACAAUCGUUAAAACUUUCAACAACGGAUCUCUUGGUUCUG